rnacentral:rRNA from 1 species
AUUGAACGCUAGCGGGAUGCCUUACACAUGCAAGUCGAACGGAGUGGCGAACGGGUGAGUAAUGUAUCUGAACGUGCCCAGUAGCUGGGGAUAACUACGCGAAAGCGUAGCUAAUACCGCAUACUAUUGGAGCGGCCGAUAGCGGAUUAGCUAGUUGGGGGGGUAACGGCUCACCAAGGCGACGAUCCGUAGCUGGAUUGAGAGGAGGACCAGCCACACCGGGACUGAGACACGGCCCGGACGCCUACGGGAGGCAGCAGUGGGGAAUUUUUGGCAAUGGGGUAAACCCUGAUCCAGCCAUCCCGCGUGUGCGAUGAAGGCCUUCGGUUUGUAAAGCACUUUUGGUAGGGAAGCGGUACCUGCAGAAUAAGCACCGGCUAACUACGUGCCAGCAGCCGCGGUAAUAC